rnacentral:rRNA from 1 species
UACGUAGGGGGCAAGCGUUGUCCGGAUUUAUUGGGCGUAAAGAGCGUGUAGGCGGCUAUACAGGUCCGCUGUGAAAACUCGAGGCUCAACCUCGAGACGUCGGUGGAAACCGUAUGGCUAGAGUCCGGAAGAGGAGAGUGGAAUUCCUGGUGUAGCGGUGAAAUGCGUAGAUAUCAAGAGGAACACCGGUGGCGAAGGCGGCUCUCUGGUCCAUGUCUGACGCUGAGGUGCGAAAGCCAGGGGAGCAAACGGG